rnacentral:rRNA from 1 species
GACGAACGCUGGCGGCGUGCCUAAUACAUGCAAGUCGAACGAACCGCCGCUGAGUUUUCUCCUCUGGCCAUGGCGACGGGCGAAUGAGUAACUAAUAGGUGACCUACCUAUCUCACUGGGGUAACUUAGAGAAACCAGAGCUAGUUCCUACUGCUAUAGACAUAGGCAUACUUCAAUCGUUGAAGAAGGUUUUCCUGAGACAUAUCGAUGAAUCCGCGCCGCAUUAGCUAGUUGGUAAGGUAACGGCUUACCAAGGCAAGGAUGCGUAGCCGACCUGAGAGGGUGAUCGGCCACACUGGAACUGAGACACGGCCCAGACUCCUACGGGAGGCAGCAGUAGGGAAUCUUCCGCAAUGGGCGAAAGUCUGACGGAGCAACGCCGCGUGAGUGAUGAAGGUCUUCGGAUCGUAAAACUCUGUUAUUAGGGAAGAACAAAUGUGUAAGUAACUGCGAAGGGCUUGACGGUACCUAAUCAGAAAGCCACGGCUAACUACGUG